rnacentral:rRNA from 1 species
GAUGAACGCUGACAGAAUGCUUAACACAUGCAAGUCUACUUGAAUUUGGGUUUUUAACUUAGGUUUGGGUGGCGGACGGGUGAGUAACGCGUAAAGAACUUGCCUCACAGCUAGGGACAACAUUUAGAAAUGAAUGCUAAUACCUAAUAUUAUGAUAAUAGGGCAUCCUAUAAUUAUGAAAGCUAUAUGCGCUGUGAGAGAGCUUUGCGUCCCAUUAGCUAGUUGGAGAGGUAACGGCUCACCAAGGCGAUGAUGGGUAGCCGGCCUGAGAGGGUGAUCGGCCACAAGGGGACUGAGACACGGCCCUUACUCCUACGGGAGGCAGCAGUGGGGAAUAUUGGACAAUGGACCGAGAGUCUGAUCCAGCAAUUCUGUGUGCACGAUGAAGUUUUUCGGAAUGUAAAGUGCUUUCAGUUGGGAAGAAAAAAAUGACGGUACCAACAGAAGAAGUGACGGCUAAAUACGUGCCAGCAGCCGCGGUAAUACGUAUGUCACGAGCGUUAUCCGGAUUUAUUGGGCGUAAAGCGCGUCUAGGUGGUUAUGUAAGUCUGAUGUGAAAAUGCAGGGCUCAACUCUGUAUUGCGUUGGAAACUGUAUAACUAGAGUACUGGAGAGGUAAGCGGAACUACAAGUGUAGAGGUGAAAUUCGUAGAUAUUUGUAGGAAUGCCGAUGGGGAAGCCAGCUUACUGGACAGAUACUGACGCUAAAGCGCGAAAGCGUGGGUAGCAAACAGG